CAGCAAGGGGAAAAACAAGCACAACUUUCUCCUUGCCAUGCUUCAAGCCUUCGCAGGAAGAAAGCAAUGAAAAACUCCUGAAGACCUUGGUAGCAAAAGAAACACAACAGAUUUUCCCUGUGAACCUCUGAAGCCAAGACACCACCACAGCUGCUAUCAGGACUUGCUUCUACCUCUCUCAGCACUGUCUGUUUAUUCACUUUUUAUUAUUCAGGUACAAAGGAGGAUUUAUUGUGGGAACAAGAGCCUUUGAUGGCAAAUCAAUGCCACUUCAGAAAAAAAGAGAAGCUGAAAACAGCCACAAGCACUAGGUGAGUUUCCUUACCUGUUUUUCCUCCAUUGUCCACAUCUCUUGGGGCAAUAGUUUCCUUUCAACAAUCCUCCUCUUGCUAACAAGCAGCCAGAUGACUUGUCCCUCGGUUGCAGCUUGUUGCAUACUACAGGAGGUUUCACAGCCUGGGCAGCUACUUCAGCAAAGGUUUGGGAAGGAAAUAGACUAUUUACAAGAAGACUGCAAUACAUUUAAAAUGACAGAUGAUAGUAGUUUCCAAGAGCUGGACAGUGACCGGUCAGAAAGCAAUGAAGAAAUUGAGAUUAUAGUCAAUGUCGGUGGGGUACGGCAGGUGCUGUAUGGAGAUCAUCUCAACCGGUACCCAGGCACAAGGCUAGCAGAGCUCAUGAACUGUUUAUCAGGGGGAUAUGACACUAUUUUCUCACUUUGUGAUGACUAUGAUCCUGGGGAAAAAGAAUUUUAUUUUGACAGAGAUCCCGAUGCUUUUAAAUGCAUCGUCGACGUAUAUUACUUUGGGGAGGUUCACAUGAAGAAGGGAAUAUGUCCUAUUUGUUUCAAGAAUGAAAUGGAAUUUUGGAAAGUGGAUCUUAAAUUCCUGGAUGACUGCUGCAAAACUCACCUCAGUGAAAAGAAGGAGGAACUAGAAGAGAUAGCCCGUAGGGUCCAGUUGAUCUUGGAUGACUUGGGACUGGACACCUCCUUAAACCGCUGGAAAAGAUGCCAGAAAUAUAUUUGGAAAUUCAUGGAAAAACCAGAAUCUUCCUACCCUGCUAGAGUAAUCGCUGUCCUGUCUUUUCUAUUCAUCCUAACAUCCUCUGUAGUUAUGUGUGUGGGGACCAUUCCAGAGCUGCAGGUGGUGGACUCUGAAGGCAAAUCUGCAGAGCACCCUGUUCUAGAUAAGAUAGAGACGGCUUGCAUAGGCUGGUUUACCCUCGAGUAUGCCCUUAGGCUCAUCUCAUCUCCUAAUAAACUACACUUUGCUCUUUCUUUCAUGAACAUCAUUGACAUCUUUGCAAUCCUUCCUUUCUAUGUCAGCUUAAUACUGACCCACUUGGGUGCCAAACUGAUGGAGUUAACGAACGUGCAGCAAGCCAUCCAAGCACUCCGGAUCAUGAGAAUUGCAAGGAUCUUCAAGCUAGCACGCCAUUCAUCAGGUCUACAGACUUUAACCUAUGCUCUUAAGAGAAGCUUUAAGGAACUGGGGCUUCUUCUGAUGUACUUGGCCGUUGGAAUCUUUGUAUUUUCUGCCCUUGGGUAUACAAUGGAGCAGAGCCACCCUGAGACACUGUUUAAGAGUAUCCCUCAGUCAUUCUGGUGGGCCAUCAUAACCAUGACGACUGUGGGUUAUGGGGACAUCUAUCCAAAGACAACGCUAGGGAAACUCAACGCUGCCAUCAGUUUCCUUUGCGGGGUUAUAGCCAUCGCACUACCAAUCCACCCCAUCAUUAAUAACUUUGUCAGAUAUUAUAACAAGCAGAGAGUGUUAGAAACAGCUGCUAAGCAUGAACUGGAACUGAUGGGGCUAAAUAUGGGGGAUAAAAAAGGUGGACAUGAAGAUGAGCUAGCAUAUGUUUUGAAGGAGGGAAGGGAUGAUCCUCGGUGGAGCAGUCAUCUCAAAGUCUCCUACAGCGACACUUUCAUUUGCUUUCUGUCAGAUGAUAAACACCACCGAACCAGGCUUCAGAGCUGAGAGUAGAAAAAUGAGACCUUCAAAAACCUCCAGCUUCUGGAUUGGAAUUGAGGACAGGGAAACUGCUGCAAAGGAAGAGGAAGAUCUUCACUUUCUGCUCAUGUCUGAGCGGUGUGCAUGGUUAUGUUUAUCCUCGCAACAACCCUGUGAGCCUUAGGUCAUCCCAUCUUCCUCCCUGAGAGCAGCCUUGCUACCACAGAGAGCAAAGCACCUGAGCUGGACUGCAGAGGCCCUGCUUUGACACCUCCAGCACCUUACCCCAAGUCUUGUGUUGAAGGGGAAGGCAGAAUUUACCCCACUCUGAGUUGCUGGCCAAUCUGACCUGAGGGGAAAAUGUCUUCCUGACUCCAAAACCAGUCAGAAUCUGAACAUGAGCAAAACCCAACCAAAGAAAACUUAGUUGGGUGCAGCUCUAUGCCACCCAACAUCGUUUCCCUUACUGUGACAGUUCCUGACACCUUGAGGAAAUGGAGAUAUUUGUGGAUCGCCAGGGACUGGAUCUACAGGACUAUGAGCCCCAUCACUUCUGAUUGCUGUUUAAAACAGGCCUUUUAAAAGAGAGAGAGAGAGUUUUGCAACUCCGCUCUAGUACUAAGCAAUGCAACAUUCUAAACUUGCAUGCACUGAAAUAAUCUCAAUGUUUGCUGUCAUCUGAGGUAAACCCUCUCUCUACAAAAGUUUUGGCUUUUCUGUUUUUGUGUUUUGUUCUUAAACUCCUCUUGUUGGUUGCAAAAAGUUUCACCUGCUCAAACCCUCAUCAUUUGCAGAGCUGUGUAGUAUUGUACCUCAAAAGGGAGACUGAAGCCACUUCAGUCAUUCACAGACUCAGUUGCUCCCCUUGGUUUAAUCUGUGAGUUAAUUGCUCUUGUCUGCGGACAGCUGCACUACGAUACACUUAAUUGCUUCAGAAUAAGCAUUGAAGAAAAUCAAUGACUUUUUAAAAACUCCCUUCAAGAGGAUAUUAGCUUCAGCAGCAGCACACUGUAUGUAGACACACACACAGACACACACACAGAGCUUUACAUAUACCUUAUAUGAACGAAUGCUUUGAAGAGUAUGUACGUCCUAGGCAUAUUGCUUUGAAAACAUUGUUGAAAACCAGCAAAACAGCACUUGUGAUGUACCAUAUGACCUAAUUUGAACGUAUACUAUAAAUCCAUCCUUUUAUGGGUUGUAGAAAAUGUCAGUUAAGAAAUGUUGUUAGUUUGUACAUUCCAUUACAAU